rnacentral:lncRNA from 12 species
GCCCCUGCGCGAGUCCGUGUUUGACUUCCCAAUCAUCGGCCCCCGAGGCCCUCACCGCUAUCCGUUUGUACGUAACGAGGGAAAUAUCGCAGGGGAAUAUCGAAAUUCUCCGACGUAAUCAAUUCCAAUGGCAUCGAGAGCCGCGAUCCCGGCUACCGUGUGUUAGUCUUUUCGCGAAACGUUGUAUAGUAUAUGUGAAUUAUGUGCGUAGAAGACCGAGAAAGUGGUGAGAAGAUGCAGACUUGUAGAUCGCUUGAUGGAUUAAGUCGUGAUGGAAUCUAAGAUUUAUAAAAAAAAAUAUCAAAUCGAUUUCUAAUGGAACGUUUGUUACUAUAAAGGAAGCGCCAUUUUAUGUUUCCAUAAUAAUAGGCAACAAAGAAUUUUGUGGUGGGUCAAUAAUUUCGGACUAUUGGAUAGUAUAAGCAGCUCACUAUUUUCUGGACUUUGAAAACCAAGAUGUAACAAUCCGAUCCGAUUCGAGUACUAAUUUGACCUUCGGAAAAAAACAUAAAAUUGAAAAAGUCAUUACAUCUGAAGAUUAUAAUAUACUGGAUUUUUCUAAAACAACCGGAACGCAUGAUAUUAGUCUAAUAAAAAUUUCUAUGACAAUUUUUGACUCAGAGUUUUGUGGGGGAUCUAUUAUUUCAGAGUAUUGGAUAGUAUCAGCAGCUCACUGUUUCAGCAACUUCAGAGACGAUUUAGUACGAAUUCGAUCCAGUUCUAGUACUACUGCUGUAAAAGGAAGAAAACACAAAAUUGAAAAGGUACUCAUACCUGAAAAUUUCAACAUACCGGAUUCUAGAAAAGGAACACAUGAUAUCAGUCUUAUAAAACUAUAAAAGCCAAUUAUAUUUGAUGAAUUUCAACAACCGAUACAAAUUUCUCGAAAUCCACCAAGAGACAAUGACAAGGCAACCAUAUAUGGUUUAGGCCAUCAGGGUUUUUUUGCGGAGCUUGUACGGGGUGUUACAAAGGAGACUCUGGAGGCCCAGUGGUGAUUGACGGCAAGCUAGCAGGAGUUGUUAGCCAGGGAUUCUCAUGCAAAAUUUCUAACAGGGGAUCACCAGGAUUUCAUACCAAAGUUCAUAAACAGUAUGAUUGGAUUAGGAAAAAAAGGGUAUAAAAUAUUGAAGACACCUUAUAAAAAAGUGCUUCAUAAAAGUAGAUUUGCUUAAUAAAAGUUAGAUUAUUGAAUAGGAAUUCUUAAACACUUAAAGGUACCUCUACCUAAAGUCCUGACUUCAUCACAAAGGUUGUGUUUUUUUUUAUUCUGGUGAAAAUAAAUUUGUAAAUUAAUUUAUUUGGGGCCGCAGUAGCACCCUAAUGACAAGUAUGCCUUGUUACAACAUAAAUAUGAAGACUAUUAUGUACUCGGUGUAAUAACGUUGUAUGUUCAUUCAAGAUUAUGCACGAAAUAAAUAUAUAUAUCAAAACAAAA